GAUGAACGCUGGCGGCGUGCCUAAUACAUGCAAGUCGAGCGAACGGACGAGAAGCUUGCUCCUCUGAUGUUAGCGGCGGACGGGUGAGUAACACGUGGAUAACCUACCUAUAAGACUGGGAUAACUUCGGGAAACCGGAGCUAAUACCGCAUAAUACUUUGAACCGCAUGGUUCAAAAGUGAAAGACGGUCUUGCCGUCACUUAUAGAUGGAUCCGCGCUGCAUUAGCUAGUUGGUAAGGUAACGGCUUACCAAGGCAACGAUGCAUAGCCGACCUGAGAGGGUGAUCGGCCACACUGGAACUGAGACACGGUCCAGACUCCUACGGGAGGCAGCAGUAGGGAAUCUUCCGCAAUGGGCGAAAGCCUGACGGAGCAACGCCGCGUGAGUGAUGAAGGUCUUCGGAUCGUAAAACUCUGUUAUUAGGGAAGAACAUAUGUGUAAGUAACUGUGCACGUCUUGACGGUACCUAAUCAGAAAGCCACGGCUAACUACGUG
rnacentral:rRNA from 1 species